UACGGGGGGGGCAAGCGUUGUUCGGAAUUACUGGGCGUAAAGGGUUCGUAGGCGGCCAACUAAGUCAUACGUGAAAUCCCUCGGCUUAACCGGGGAACUGCGUCUGAUACUGGAUGGCUUGAGUUCGGGAGAGGGAUGCGGAAUUCCAGGUGUAGCGGUGAAAUGCGUAGAUAUCUGGAGGAACACCGGUGGCGAAGGCGGCAUCCUGGACCGGCAUUGACGCUGAGGCGCGAAAGCUAGGGGAGCAAACGGG
rnacentral:rRNA from 1 species